UACGUAGGGCGCAAGCGUUGUCCGGAAUUAUUGGGCGUAAAGAGCUCGUAGGCGGUUUGUCGCGUCUGCUGUGAAAUUUCGGGGCUCAACCCCGAACUUGCAGUGGGUACGGGCAGACUAGAGUGUGGUAGGGGAGACUGGAAUUCCUGGUGUAGCGGUGAAAUGCGCAGAUAUCAGGAGGAACACCGAUGGCGAAGGCAGGUCUCUGGGCCACUACUGACGCUGAGAAGCGAAAGCAUGGGGAGCGAACAGG
rnacentral:rRNA from 1 species